rnacentral:rRNA from 1 species
CUCCUAAGGCUAAAUACUCUCUAGUGACCGAUAGUGAACCAGUACCGUGAGGGAAAGGUGAAAAGUACCCCGGAAGGGGAGUGAAAGAGAACUUGAAACCGUGUGCUUACAAGUAGUCAGAGCCCGUUAAUGGGUGAUGGCGUGCCUUUUGUAGAAUGAACCGGCGAGUUACGAUCUGAUGCAAGGUUAAGCAGAAAAUGUGGAGCCGUAGCGAAAGCGAGUCUGAAUAGGGCGAAUGAGUAUUUGGUCGUAGACCCGAAACCAGGUGAUCUACCCUUGGUCAGGUUGAAGUUCAGGUAACACUGAAUGGAGGACCGAACCGACUUACGUUGAAAAGUGAGCGGAUGAACUGAGGGUAGCGGAGAAAUUCCAAUCGAACUUGGAGAUAGCUGGUUCUCUCCGAAAUAGCUUUAGGGCUAGCCUCAAGUGAUGAUUAUUGGAGGUAGAGCACUGUUUGGACGAGGGGCCCCUCUCGGGUUACCGAAUUCAGACAAACUCCGAAUGCCAAAUAAUUUAACUUGGGAGUCAGAAUGUGGGUGAUAAGGUCCAUAUUCGAAAGGGAAACAGCCCAGACCACCAGCUAAGGUCCCAAAAUAUAUGUUAAGUGGAAAAGGAUGUGGCGUUGCCCAGACAACUAGGAUGUUGGCUUAGAAGCAGCCAUCAUUUAAAGAGUGCGUAAUAGCUCACUAGUCGAGUGACACUGCGCCGAAAAUGUACCGGGGCUAAACAUAU